GACGAACGCUGGCGGCGUGCUUAACACAUGCAAGUCGAACGGUGAAGCGCCUUCCUUUUUGGUGGGUGUGGAUGAGUGGCGAACGGGUGAGUAACACGUGAGUAACCUGCCCCCUUCUUCUGGAUAACCGCAUGAAAGUGUGGCUAAUACGGGAUAUUCUGGGUCUGUCGCAUGAUGGGUCUGGGAAAGAUAUUGUUUCGGUGGGGGAUGGGCUCGCGGCCUAUCAGCUUGUUGGUGGGGUGAUGGCCUACCAAGGCGGUGACGGGUAGCCGGCCUGAGAGGGUGGACGGUCACACUGGGACUGAGACCCGGCCAAGACUCCGACGGGGGGCAGCAGUGGGGAAUAUUGCACAAUGGGCGCAAGCCUGAUGCAGCGACGCCGCGUGAGGGAUGGAGGCCUUCGGGUUGUGAACCUCUUUCGCCAGUGAAGCAGGCCUGCCUCGUUUGUGGGUGGGUUGACGGUAGCUGGAUAAGAAGCGCCGGCUAACUACGUG
rnacentral:rRNA from 1 species